rnacentral:rRNA from 1 species
GCUUACGGCCAUACCAGCCUGGGUACGCCCGAUCUCGUCUGAUCUCGGAAGCUAAGCAGGGUCGGGCCUGGUUAGUACUCGGAUGGGAGACCGCCUGGGAAUACCAGGUGCUGUAAGCA